rnacentral:lncRNA from 1 species
AGCAUCAAAAACCAAGCAUAGGAUAUGUUUUACUUUUUUAAAAAAUAUCUCUUCUCUUUCUCUAAAAGAUAUCAAUUCAUUAAGUUUAGAAAAGAUAUAAAUUUUUCAAAUUUAUCUCAUAUAAUAUCAUAUCAAGAAUAUGUCAAUAUAAAAUAGAUUUGAGGCUAAAAUUUUUUUUUUCAAAGAUGAAGCAAUAUAAUGCAAGGUAAGAAUGAGCUGUUUGAUAUCAAGUGUUGAUGCAAGAAUUCAUCUAACAUCGAGAUGCUAG